rnacentral:rRNA from 1 species
CCCUUAGAUGUCCUGGGCCGCACGCGUGCUACACUGACGCAUACAGCGAGCACUUUCCAGUUCCGAGAGGCUACUGGUAAUCAUCAAUAUGCGUCGUGAUGGGGAUAGAUCUUUGGAAUUCUGGAUCUUGAACGAGGAAUGCCUAGUAAUCGCAGGCCAUUAGCCUGCGAUGAUUAAGUCCCUGCCCUUUGUACACACCGCCCGUCGCUACUACCGAUUUCGAGUGGUCAGGUGAAUCUUUCGGACUGUGGGCGCCCUUGAGGUGUUCGCGGAAAGUCAGGUAAAUCUUAUCACUUAGAGGAAGUAAAAGUCGUAACA